rnacentral:rRNA from 1 species
UUUAAAGAGAGUUUGAUCCUGGCUCAGGACGAACGCUGGCGGCGUGCCUAAUACAUGCAAGUCGAACGAACGGAGGAAGAGCUUGCUCUUCCAAAGUUAGUGGCGGACGGGUGAGUAACACGUGGGCAACCUGCCUGUAAGUUG